rnacentral:rRNA from 1 species
GUGCCUAACACAUGCAAGUCGAACGAGAAAGUCCGCAAGGAUGAGUAAAGUGGCGACCGGGUGAGUAACACGUAGCUAACCUACCCUCGAGUGGGGGAUAACCUGGGGAAACCUGGGCUAAUACCGCAUGACAUCCUGACGGCGUCUGCCGUUGGGAGCAAAGGCCCGCAAGGGCCGCUGGAGGAGGGGGCUGCGGCCGAUUAGCUAGUUGGUGAGGUAACGGCCCACCAAGGCGAUGAUCGGUAGCCGGCCUGAGAGGGCGCACGGCCACACUGGCACUGACACACGGGCCAG